rnacentral:rRNA from 1 species
GACGAACGCUGGCGGCGUGCUUAACACAUGCAAGUCGAACGCUGAAGCUCAGCUUUUGUUGGGUGGAUGAGUGGCGAACGGGUGAGUAACACGUGAGUAACCUGCCUCCUUCUUUGGGAUAACGCCCGGAAACGGGUGCUAAUACUGGAUAUUCACUGGUCUUCGCAUGGGGGUUGGUGGAAAGGGUUUUUCUGGUGGGGGAUGGGCUCGCGGCCUAUCAGCUUGUUGGUGGGGUGAUGGCCUACCAAGGCUUUGACGGGUAGCCGGCCUGAGAGGGUGACCGGUCACAUUGGGACUGAGAUACGGCCCAGACUCCUACGGGAGGCAGCAGUGGGGAAGAUUGCACAAUGGGCGCAAGCCUGAUGCAGCGACGCCGCGUGGGGGAUGGAGGCCUUCGGGUUGUGAACCCCUUUCGCUCAUGGUCAAGCCGCAACAAUGGUUGUGGUGAGGGUAGUGGGUAAAGAAGCGCCGGCUAACUACGUG